CCUUACAUAGGUAUUUACUAAAAUUUUAUAGACUACAUAGUCGGUUUAGGGAUGGCAGACUGUGUGAUCAGGCUCAAAGCCUAUAUAACACUCACACUCUUAAGCAACCAUCGUUUUCACAAAGCUGUGAAGGAGCCCCCAAUUUCUCAGACCGCAAGACUGUUUGGAAGGAACUAGAACCGGCGAAGUGUUACCCUUUACUAGGUCUCGGUAAUACAAUGGGAAAUUCAAGUUCCUCAGAAGAAAGCCGCCGACGUAGAACUAAUGUUGCUGGACAGGUCGGUCCCCCUAGCAACAUUGCCGGACAGCAUUCCACGCAACCGGCAGCCAAUCAUCCACAGGUCCAUCACGCGCCGGUUCAUCACGCGCCGGUUCAUCACGCGCCGGCCCAUCACGGAGGCCAUCAUGGAGGAGGCCACGGAGGCUGCCAUCACGGAGGCCAUCAUGGAGGAGGCCACUGUGGGUUUUGAGGCCACAAGAUACAUGAGCAAACAAUGAGUUUAAAUAAACUGAGGCGCAGCUUCCGACGGUGGUUUCCAGCUCCCAGAAUUAUAGCGGAGUAGACGGGGGGAAAAGGGGGUCGGCGUGAAAUAGAGUGUCUGUUUGGUAUAAUGUCUGUUUGUAUGUGAAACUUAUACGCCGAAAUAAAGACCAAUGGGAAUGGAGGUUACACCGGUAGGAUAUAGAACCCGAAACCACCUUUUUGUGUUGAGGGAGCUCUCCCUAAUCUAGCCAUGUUCCCCAUUCCUACACCCAUUAAAUGCCAAGGGCUUCUGGUAUCAGUUCAGGUGAUUUUAAAUGGUGUACAAAUAAGGGAUCGCCCUAAACUUUGAUCUAUUUUUUCAGCUUCUCUUCUGUAUACAAUUUAAUAUACAAUCGAAGAAAAUUUGAUAAUAAACAAAAACCCACUUGGGGCUUG